rnacentral:lncRNA from 1 species
CCGCAAUGUCCUCGCUGCAAUUUCUAGUACACUAGUGCAAAUCUGUCUACCCGGGCUGGGACGCUCACUCCCCGCUGCAGUGUAGAUAUACCCUUGGUAUCUGUUCUGUAACAUUUUUGAAAAUAUAGCCCUUAGUGGUUAGGAUUUUAUACCAUACCACAUACACAUACUGUAUAGGUGUUCAGAUAAACAUAAUUUCUGUUGUACUUUGUUUUCCAUUGGUAUCAUUGUUCUGACCAUUAGGUGUUCAUUAUUUUGUUGUUGGGUUUUUUUUAAGUAAAAUAAACGAAAAUCUAGCACAUUUAAUUUUUAUCUGCAGAUGUAGUCCCAAUUUUUCUACUAUGCAGCUGCUGCUGUCAUUUCCCCAUGGUCUAGUAGUAUGUCUGUGUGUGAGCAUUGCUUUAACAAACUCCUGCUAUUGAAAUGUUUCUUGCGUUGUUUUAGUUUACAGGGGGAUUUCAGAAGUGGAUCCAGUCAAUUUCAGCUUUAUUUGUAUAAAUUUUAAAUAUUUCCACUUUGAAACCCCAGGUUUUACAGGAAAUUUCCAGGAGCUCAAGAUAGGACAAUUUGGAGAUGCCAGACUACACCAUAGAAUUGGCUUCUCUCCCCCCUCCGCUCCCCCCAAGCAUUUGAAUCUACUUUUUCCGCAAGCCAAGGAUGUAGCAGGCCCUCCAGGAAGGCGGGGAAAGCCGGGUCGACGAGGAGAACCUGGACCUGCAGUAAGUACCGUGGAUUUUACUCUUGGGUCAACAAAGUUAAGGCAAUUUUUUUUCCCCUUUCUGUAUCAUUUCACAAGAACAGCCUUUUUUGGUAGAGGUGUGUAUGGAAGGAAAAUUGGUACCAGAUGCUGCUUUUUUUCCCCCUCCCUCCCCCUCUUGAUUGUAGACAAGUAGUUUAAAAAAAAAAGCUUUAAAAAUGCUUAACUCGCUGCCCUAAGGAGCCUGUGGCAAUUUAAAACCCAGCAAAUAUUCUGUAAAAAACAUAGUUCUCUUUUUUUUUUUAAAGAAUUCUUUGGUCAGUCUCCAUGCUCAAAUAUGUGCACACUGUAUUAAUAUUUUAAUGUUUUGAUGUUUUAAAUUUGAAAACUGUCCAUCUCGCUUCUCCCAUUUAUUGUGUCUCAGUUGGUUGAUACUGCAUGUCGUUAGUGAUGUUGAUAGCCCCACACCACUGUGAUUCAGCCAAAAAAAAUGUAUAGCUUUCUUCUCUCUUCGGGGCUGUUUGGUGAGUAAUAAACAUCUCUCGCUGCAUGGCCGGAACCUUUAU